rnacentral:rRNA from 1 species
UAGGGAAUAUUGCAAAAUGGGCGAAAGCCCGAUGCAGCAACGCCGCGUGGGCGAUGAAGGCCUUCGGGUCGUAAAGCCCUUUUUGAGGGGAUGAGGAAGGACAGUACCCUCAGAAUAAGCCUCGGCUAACUACGUGCCAGCAGCCGCGGUAAAGCGUAGGAGGCGAGCGUUAUCCGGAUUUACUGGGCGUAAAGCGCGUGCAGGCGGAUUGGAGAGUUGGAUGUGAAAGCUCCCGGCUUAACUGGGAGAGGUCGUUCAAUACUUCCAGUCUUGAGUGCAGUAGAGGGAAGUGGAAUUCCGGGUGUAGUGGUGAAAUGCGUAGAUAUCCGGAGGAACACCAGUGGCGAAAGCGGCUUCCUGGACUGUAACUGACGCUCAGACGCGAAAGCUAGGGU